AGUGAACGCUGGCGGUAGGCCUAACACAUGCAAGUCGAACGGCAGCACAGUAAGAGCUUGCUCUUACGGGUGGCGAGUGGCGGACGGGUGAGGAAUACAUCGGAAUCUACUUUUUCGUGGGGGAUAACGUAGGGAAACUUACGCUAAUACCGCAUACGACCUACGGGUUAAAGCAGGGGAUCUUCGGACCUUGCGCGAUUGAAUGAGCCGAUGUCGGAUUAGCUAGUUGGCGGGGUAAAGGCCCACCAAGGCGACGAUCCGUAGCUGGUCUGAGAGGAUGAUCAGCCACACUGGAACUGAGACACGGUCCAGACUCCUAAGGGAGGCAGCAGUGGGGAAUAUUGGACAAUGGGCGCAAGCCUGAUCCAGCCAUACCGCGUGGGUGAAGAAGGCAUUCGGGUUGUAAAGCCCUUUUGUUGGGAAAGAAAAGCAGCAGGUUAAUACCCCGCUGUUCUGACGGUACCCAAAGAAUAAGCACCGGUUAACUUCGUG
rnacentral:rRNA from 1 species